CAUGGCGGCGCAAUUAUUUUAGUAAGUGAUCGACGGAAUCGCUUAUUUUGGUUCCAAAACAGGAGCAAAAAUGAGACUUUAAGUAUUAUUUGCUUUCUAGUUCACAUUUUCUCUCGUUCUCUGGAGUUUGAAGAGAGAAAACUACGGUACAGCGGCUAGAAAACUCCGAAAUGGAAAACACAUGUGACAUUCAGGUCAACUAUCAGAGGUAACUGAGGGUGCUGGCCUGUGGACAAGUCAUGGAAGGUGACCUGUGGUGAACAUGCCUUAGAAGGUAGCAUGCAGCAGACAAGCCUUCUUAGAUGAACUGUGGCAGACAAGCCUUGGAAGGUGACCUGUCGUGGACAAGCCUUCCAAGGUGACCUGUCGUGGACAAGCCUUCCAAGGUGACCUGUCGUGGACAAGCCUUCCAAGGUGACCUGUCGUGGACAAGCCUUCCAAGGUGACCUGUGGCAAUCCUUGGUACGUAGCCUUUGGGCAAUCGUUGCCCAAGGUGGCCUGUGGACAAGUCUUGGUAGGUGGCCAGUGGACUGUGGACAAGCUUGGGAAGGUGGCCUGUAGAUAUGCCUUGGAAGGCGGCCUGUGGACAAGCCUUGGUAGGUGGCCUGAACAAACCCUGGUAGGUGGUCUGUGGACUGUGGACAAGCCUUGGAAGGGGGCCUGUGGACAAGCCUUGGAAGGAUGCCCCUAGGACAUGCCUCGGUAGGUGGCCUGUGGACACCUUUUCAUGGACAGUGGACAACCCUAGAUCUGAGAUAAGAGUGGUCAGUAGAUGACGUUGGAAAACAAGCGAACUUGAAGACCAGCGAACUAAAAGGCAUGGACAAAAUGCUUAAGAUCUACCUAAGGCAUGAAUCAUACUUUGAAAGCAGGAGCUUGGUAUUGAGGCAGAAGUUUACAGCAGCACAUACCCAUUUUAGUGAUGGAGCCCUGAUGAUUGCCUAUAAAGAGAAGAGCACCAAAUGAUUUAUUAUUUAUUUCCAUGGCAUUUCAGCUAAUUUUAAAUAUCUAUUUGGCCCAGCCUGAGAGGUCAUGGAAUGUGGGGUACAGCUAGUCCAGGGUUUUCCUCCCAGGUGCAAGUGGAUGUACAGGGGGGUUUUUCACCCAGCUGUUGUUCCACAACCCCCAUUCAUUUAGUCUUAUAGAAGCCAUUAAUUCUAUAGCUUUUUUUUAGUGUUUGUGUGCCACAGUUGUUCAAACAAGUGCUCCCCUACCCUUUGGUUGGUGGACUUUUCUGGGUCGUGAGUCUCAGGUAUUUUGGUUGCUGUGUUUUUAAGGUCUUGAGUUUGGUGGGUCUAAGCUGUUUCGCUCUUAGGGUUAUUGGGUCCUGCAAUUUCUGGUGUUAGCCAAGUAAUGUCCUAAGCACUUGAUGUCCUAAGGCUACAUGGGGUCAUGGGUUUUAUGGUGUAAGGGUUAGGGUCUAAGAUUUUUGGGUCUUAGUUUUUUUGGGGUCUAAGUUUUUCGGAGGUGUAAGUUUGUUUGGGGUCUAAUGUUUUUGGGUUCUAAGGUUUUUAGGGGUCUAAUUGUUUGGGGUUCUAAGAUUUUAGGGUCUAAGGUUUUUUGUGGUCUAAGGUUUUUAGGGGUCUAAGGUUUUUUGGGGAUUAAGGUUUUUUGGGCUCUAAGGUUUUGGGGCCUAAGGUUUUUGGGUUCUAAGGUCUUUGGGGCCUAAGUUUUUUGAGUCUUUUAGCACUUAUUUGUACAAUUUUUGCAGAAUUUGUAAGGUUAAGAUAGAAGGGUGGUUGAAUACUAGAUGUAGCAGACUUUUUACCAGCACUGUUAAACAGUCUUUGAUUAAUUUUUCUAUUAACUAUCUACACAAUUUUAAUACACUUUUUGAUAGUUUGUAUCUCAAAAUUCAGGUCUUGCGUUUUUUGGGUCCCAGCUUCAUGGGUCAUAGGGUUUUUGGGUCUCAGUUUUUUUAUAAGUCAUAGGUGUUCUAGAUCUUUGAAAUAUCAUGGUUUUUUCAGAUCCUAUUUUGGUUUUACAUUUUGAGCCUCUUAUUGCCAGCUUAUGGUCUUUUAGGUCCUGUGUUCUCUAGGUCUCAGGUUUUUUUGGAUCAAGGGGUUUUUGUGUCUUAAGUCUUUGUAUCUAAGGCUUAGGUUGGGCAACUGAUUUGAGGCACACCUCAUAUCUCAUAUUUUCAUAUAUACAUGGUUUUAAGCAUAAGCCUUUUCAAAAAGGAGAUUAACUGCCUUUUGUACAAGUAACUGUAGGAUGGACCCCACUGCUAAGGUUUAGCUUUGGAAACUAAAUAAGCAGAAGUAAUUAUCGGUACUACUGCUAACAUUGUGCUGCCAGAGUUUUGAGUUUUGUAAUCUUAGGGUUUCAUCACUGGGUCUGGUUAAGGCUGGGAUGUCUAGGUCUUGAAAAUAUUGUUUUUGGUGGGUUAGCCCUUAAAAUCUUAGUUUUCAGAUCUCUUCUCUUUCCUGAUCUUGGGUGUUUCAGGUUUACCAGAUUUCAGGGUAUGGAGUUUUUUUGCUUUAGAUCUCUUAGAAUCUUCAGUUCUAAGGAUUUCUGGCACUUAAGUUUUGCAGAAAUCAAGCCUCUGGGAUCAUAGGUUCCUGUUUCUCAGAUUCCCUGGCCUAUAGUAUAGCAUUUUUACUUUUUCAUGCCUUAUUUAUUUAUUUAUUUAUUUAAAUAAGUCUCCCAGAUAUGUGGGUGUAAGGUUUUCCCAGUGUUAGGUUACCUGGAUCCAAGGUAUAUGGGUCUCUGAUUUCCAGGCCUUAGGCAUUUAAUUUUAUCUUGGGGUAGGUUUAGAGGUCCCAAAUUUUGUUAGUUCUUGAUUUCUGGGCCUCAGCUUUUUGGGCAGUGGUUCCUCUGAGCAACAGGUCAAUGGGUCUUUAGUUUUGUUAAUCUUAUGUUCCCAGAUCUCAGAUCUUUUUGGUUCUAAGUAUAUUUCCUGGUCCUGGUUCUUGGGUUUCAAGGUCCCAGGUUAAUUAAAUCUCCACUUUCCAGGUCCCUUAAUUCUUUUUUGGGGUGUUAAGUGGUAAGGUCUUAAUGUUAAGGAUCUCUGGGUGUGGUGUUUUAUGGGGUCUUAGGUUCCUGCAGUCCAAUUCUUAGUGGUUUUAGGCUUUUGGGUUUUAAGCCUUGGAGUCAUAGGUUCUUUGAAGGUUUUCAUUUUUCAGGGUCUCCAGAAGUCUUUGCUUUC